AUUGAACGCUGGCGGCAGGCUUAACACAUGCAAGUCGAGCGGAGCGAGGGUGCUUGCACCUUAGCUUAGCGGCGGACGGGUGAGUAAUGCUUAGGAAUCUGCCUAUUAGUGGGGGACAACAUUCCGAAAGGAAUGCUAAUACCGCAUACGCCCUACGGGGGAAAGCAGGGGAUCUUCGGACCUUGCGCUAAUAGAUGAGCCUAAGUCGGAUUAGCUAGUUGGUGGGGUAAAGGCCUACCAAGGCGACGAUCUGUAGCGGGUCUGAGAGGAUGAUCCGCCACACUGGGACUGAGACACGGCCCAGACUCCGACGGGAGGCAGCAGUGGGGAAUAUUGGACAAUGGGCGGAAGCCUGAUCCAGCCAUGCCGCGUGUGUGAAGAAGGCCUUUUGGUUGUAAAGCACUUUAAGCGAGGAGGAGGCUACUUAGAUUAAUACUCUGGGAUAGUGGACGUUACUCGCAGAAUAAGCACCGGCUAACUCUGUGCCAGCAGCCGCAGUAAGAC
rnacentral:rRNA from 1 species